GCGACGAUAGCUCAGUGGCAGAGCGGUGGGGCGUUUACCCAUGCGGCCCGGGUUCGAUUCCCGGUCGAUGUA